GACGAACGCUGGCGGCGUGCUUAACACAUGCAAGUCGAACGGAAAGGCCCUGCUUUUGUGGGGUGCUCGAGUGGCGAACGGGUGAGUAACACAUGAGUAACCUGCCCUUGACUUUGGGAUAACUUCAGGAAACUGGGGCUAAUACCGGAUAGGAGCUCCUGCUGCAUGGUGGGGGUUGGAAAGUUUUGGCGGUUGGGGAUGGACUCGCGGCUUAUCAGCUUGUUGGUGGGGUAGUGGCUUACCAAGGCUUUGACGGGUAGCCGGCCUGAGAGGGUGACCGGCCACAUUGGGACUGAGAUACGGCCCAGACUCCUACGGGAGGCAGCAGUGGGGAAUAUUGCACAAUGGGCGGAAGCCUGAUGCAGCAACGCCGCGUGCGGGAUGACGGCCUUCGGGUUGUAAACCGCUUUCGCCUGUGACGAAGCGUGAGUGACGGUAAUGGGUAAAGAAGCACCGGCUAACUACGUG
rnacentral:rRNA from 1 species